ensembl:lncRNA
AGGAGUGGGCCAGAAGAGAGGCACUGGAGAAAGAACAGGAGCUUCUACGGCAUUAGUUUAAUGAGCUGUGACAAAAGUUGGAGGACCAAGAGUCUCUGAGUGAUUGAUUAACAGCUAAAAUGACAGAGGAGAUAAGAGAAAGAGAAAAGACCUCAGCAGGUACAGGGGAGGGCUCAGCUCACAUGGGGUGUGGAGUUUCCUGCAGUCACGUCUGAGAACGAUGAUGGGAGCAGCUUCCAGAAGCAGAGAACUUCCUCAUCUUCUGUGAACACACUCUGCUUCAUCUGAAAAGUACACAGGUCCAGCCAGCCAGUCAGAGCCCUUCCUAGCAGAUUCUCACACCUGUCCGUCAUGUGUAGUCACGGGUGAAUUCAGACAUGUCCAUUUGCUUUCUUCAGACAGUUUGGUCACUGAGAAAGUGAGUGUUGGGGGAUGGGGGCAUUGUAGCUCUCAGGGCUGACUGUUGUUUCCUUUCCUCUAUGAAAUCUUCUUGGAGCAGAAGAUCUGGACGAAAGAGAGGUGCCUAUUUUUUCCGGGAUGGAAAAUGAGCCUCCUGAGCAAACAGUUAAAGAAUUGCAGCAAAUGUUGGAAAACCAAAAAAUAGGCUUCAUGAAAUUUGUAUUCAAAAUAAUAGGAGAUACAAGAGAGAGAGAGAAACUUCUGAGGGAGAUGAAUGAGAAGAUUGAGUGGCUCAAGGCCUCGGUGAUGAUAACAGAUGAACAAGAAGAAUGCUGCAUGAAGGAAGGUGACCUCCUUUGUGAUACAGGGGAGACCUCAGCAGCAGAGUGGGCCAGAAGAGAGGCAGCUGAGAGGGGAAAGGAGCCUCUUGAGCAAAAGGUUAAGUUGCUGCAGCAAAAGCUGGAUAAGGAAGAAAUAGCCUUUGAGGAAUUCAGAGUCAAAAUGACAGAGGAGAUACGAGAGUGUGAUGAUCUUCUGAGAAAGGUGGACCAGAGUAUUAAGGAGCUGGAGGCCUCAGUGAUGAUAACAGAUGAACAAGAAGAAUGCUGCAUGAAGAAAAGUGAGCUCCUUUGUGAUGCAGGGAAGACCUCAGCAGAAGAGUGGACCAGAAGAGUGGCAGCUGAGAAGGUUAUGGAGUGUCUUGAACAAAAGUACACAGAGUUCUGGCAAAAGUUGGAGGACCAAGAAAGAGUCCAUGAAGGACUUAUAGCCAUUAUGACACAGGAGAUAAUAGAAAGAGAAAAGUCCUCAGCAGCAGAGUGGGCCAGAAGAGAGGCAGCUGAGAGGGGAAAGGAGGCUCUUGAGGAAAAGAUUAAAGAGCUGCAGCAAAUGUUGGAGGACCAAGAAAGAGUCUCCGAGGGAUUUAGAGCCCAAGUGCCAGAGGAGAUGAAAGAAAGAGAAAAGACCUCGGCAGAAGAGCCAAACAAAAGAGAAGAAGCUGAGAGGGAAGAGGAGUCUCUUGAGCAAAAUGUUAAAGGGCUGCAGCAGAAGUUGGAGGACCGACAAACAGACGUCAAUGGAUUAAAAGCCCAAGUGACAGAGGGGAUCAGCAAAAGGGAAAAGACCUCAGUAGGUACAGGGGAGGGCUCAGCUCACAGUGGGGCGGGGAGGUUCCUGCAGUGCCCUCGGAGACCCUGA